CCUACGGGGGGCAGCAGUAGGGAAUCUUCCACAAUGGGCGAAAGCCUGAUGGAGCAACGCCGCGUGGGUGAAGAAGGUCUUCGGAUCGUAAAACCCUGUUGUUAGAGAAGAAAGUGCGUGAGAGUAACUGUUCACGUGUCGACGGUAUCUAACCAGAAAGCCACGGCUAACUACGUGCCAGCAGCCGCGGUAAUACGUAGGUGGCAAGCGUUAUCCGGAUUUAUUGGGCGUAAAGGGAACGCAGGCGGUCUUUUAAGUCUGAUGUGAAAGCCGUCGGCUUAACCGGAGUAGUGCAUUGGAAACUGGGAGACUUGAGUGCAGGAGAGGGGAGUGGAACUCCAUGUGUAGCGGUGAAAUGCGUAGAUAUAUGGAAGAACACCAGUGGCGAAGGCGGCUCUCUGGUCUGUAACUGACGCUGAGGUUCGAAAGCGUGGGUAGCAAACAGGAUUAGAUACCCUUGUAGUC
rnacentral:rRNA from 1 species